rnacentral:rRNA from 1 species
CACGUAGGGUGCGAGCGUUGUCCGGAAUUAUUGGGCGUAAAGAGCUCGUAGGCGGUGUGUCACGUCGGCCGUGAAAACCUGCAGCUUAACUGUGGGCGUGCGGUCGAUACGGGCAUCACUGGAGUUCGGCAGGGGAGACUGGAAUUCCUGGUGUAGCGGUGAAAUGCGCAGAUAUCAGGAGGAACACCGAUGGCGAAGGCAGGUCUCUGGGCCAUAACUGACGCUGAGAAGCGAAAGCAUGGGGAGCGAACAGG